GGCGGCGUGGCUAAGGCAUGCAAGUCGAACGGGGCUUCCUGAGUAGCAAUACAAGGGAAGUUCAGUGGCGGACGGGUGAGUAAUGCAUAGGUAACGUGCCUCGAGCUCAGGGAUAGCGGCGCCCGCAAGGGGCUUUAGCGAAAGUGCCGGUAAUACCUGAUGACGUUUUGGAGUCACAUGACUCCUCUACCAAAGGUGGGGACCUUCGGGCCUGCCGACUCGAGAUCGGCCUAUGUCCUAUCAGCUAGUUGGUGGGGUAAAGGCCUACCAAGCCGACGAUCUGUAGCUGGUCUGAGAGGACGACCAGCCACACUGGGACUGAGACACGGCCCAGACUCCUACGGGAGGCAGCAGUGGGGAAUUUUGGACAAUGGGCGCAAGCCUGAUCCAGCCAUGCCGCGUGCGGGAAGAAGGCCUUCGGGUUGUAAACCGCUUUUGUCAGGGAAGAAAUCUUCUGGGUUAAUACCUCGGGAGGAUGACGGUACCUGAAGAAUAAGCACCGGCUAACUACGUG
rnacentral:rRNA from 1 species